UGUGUUGCGUGCACGCAGUUAGGGAAAAGGCGUUUCGGGGAUGCGGGGUACGAGAGGAGGUGCCAGAGAGACAUUAUUUUGUACAAGAAAACAGUCCGGAGACAGAGAGCGGGAACGGAUGACGUCGAGAUGAGAUAACGGACGCGAGAACGGUUUACAAUAUCAAGGCAUGCGCGUCGUCAAUGAGCAGCGGCAAUAAUGGACAGGAGAAAUUGUUUUGAGAAAGAGAAAAAAAAGGCGACAAAAAUGUUUCACGGUAUGCGUGCGUGUUUUCGAGUACAUGUAUGCAUGUGUGGCGUGUCCAGGUGUGAGUUUGUGUCAUGGAAAAAAAAAGAAAAGACAGCGUAUUUAGAAUAUAUGGUCGAAAAAUUUCGGUAUCAUAAAAUCGAAUAAUUCAGAGGUACAAACUUAUUGAAACAGUCACUCGAAUCAAGUUAAGUUUAUCACGAUUAUUGCACAAAUAAAAUUUACGACACAGCCACUAAAUAUUCUGACACUGACUCGAUUUUGUACAAUACUGAAUUCGGUGCUUAGGAUAUUCGUAUAAAAUGUGCGAUUCGCGAUAAAAUUUAUUUUCUGUACUUCCACUCUUUCAAUGAAAAUAUGAUAACUUAAGUUCGUUAUCGUACAUUUCACAAUAUCCCUAAGCGAUUAAUGAAUAUUAUAGACAUAGAGUAUCCCAGAAUGUCUUUCACGUGAAAAAAAUUGAUUUUUGUUAAUAAAAAUUUACUCGAAACUUAUAGUUAUUUAUUUUUUCCCACUUAUCCUUAGAUAUAUUUGUAUAUAUUUCUUGAAUUUUUAGCCGGAAGAAAGUACGACAUUCCUAGAACUCUCUGUAUACAAAAAAAAUCUUUUGGGAUUAUACGCGUAAACCAUGCCAAAAGAAACCAAUGUAUUUUAACUUUAAUGUAACAUUUGAAUGAUAAAUGAACUCAAAAAAGGGAAAAGAGGGGGGAGAUAUUUUAAUAUUCAUAUACAAAACUCAUUUCCCAGUAUGAUAAAUAAUUGUAAAGACAAUCUCAAACUAAACAUGCAUUGGUUAUCUUCUAGCAGGGCUAUUAAAAUUUCUACAGAAAAGGGAUACUACAGUAGGAUACACCAAAAUUGAUCACUGCAAAUCAAUAGAUGAAAUAAUCACAUUGAAUAUUACUACAGAGGUAGAACAUUUAACACGGAAAAUAAUCAUCAAAUAAGGAAUAAACUGGCUAACAUAAACCAUCCACCAAAA